AAAGUGGCGAACGGCUGAGUAACACGUGGGCAACCUGCCCUUUGCACUGGGAUAGCCUCGGGAAACCGAGGUUAAUACCGGAUACUCCAUAUUUGCGCAUGGCGAAUAUGGGAAAGCUCCGGCGGCAAAGGAUGGGCCCGCGGCCUGUUAGCUAGUUGGUGGGGUAGUGGCCUACCAAGGCAAUGAUGGGUAGCCGGGUUGAGAGACCGACCGGCCAGAUUGGGACUGAGACACGGCCCAGACUCCUACGGGAGGCAGCAGC
rnacentral:rRNA from 1 species